rnacentral:rRNA from 1 species
AGUGAACGCUGGCGGUAGGCCUAACACAUGCAAGUCGAACGGCAGCACAGUAAGGGCUUGCUCUUACGGGUGGCGCGUGGCGGACGGGUGAGGAAUACAUCGGAAUCUACUUUUUCGUGGGGGAUAACGUAGGGAAACUUACGCUAAUACCGCAUACGACCUACGGGUGAAAGCAGGGGAUCUUCGGACCUUGCGCGAUUGAAUGAGCCGAUGUCGGAUUAGCUAGUUGGCGGGGUAAAGGCCCACCAAGGCGACGAUCCGUAGCUGGUCUGAGAGGAUGAUCAGCCACACUGGAACUGAGACACGGUCCAGACUCCUACGGGAGGCAGCAGUGGGGAAUAUUGGACAAUGGGCGCAAGCCUGAUCCAGCCAUACCGCGUGGGUGAAGAAGGCCUUCGGGUUGUAAAGCCCUUUUGUUGGGAAAGAAAAGCAGCAGGUUAAUACCCCGCUGUUCUGACGGUACCCAAAGAAUAAGCACCGGCUAACUUCGUG